UUGGAGGGCAAGUCUGGUGCCAGCAGCCGCGGUAAUUCCAGCUCCAAUAGCGUAUAUUAAAGUUGUUGCAGUUAAAAAGCUCGUAGUUGAAUUUCGAGACCGGCUUACUGGUCGUGCUUUUGUGCGUACUGGUAUAAUCGGUUUCUCCUUUCUGACGAACUAUAAUGCCAUUAAUUUGGUGUUAUAGGGAAUCAGGACUGUUACUUUGAAAAAAUUAGAGUGUUUAAAGCAGGCUCACGCUUGAAUACAUUAGCAUGGAAUAACGGAAUAGGACGUUUGAUUCUAUUUUGUUGGUUUCUAGGAUCGACGUAAUGAUUAAUAGGGAUAGUUGGGGGCAUUAGUAUUCAAUUGUCAGAGGUGAAAUUCUUGGAUUUAUUGAAGACUAACUACUGCGAAAGCAUUUGCCAAGGAUGUUUUCAUUAAUCAAGAACGAAAGUUAGGGGAUCGAAGACGAUCAGAUACCGUCGUAGUCUUAACCAUAAACUAUGCCGACUAGGGAUCGGAUGAUGUUAAUUUUUUAAUGACUCAUUCGGCGCCUUACGGGAAAC
rnacentral:rRNA from 1 species